CUUAUGAUGGCGACCGGCGCACGGGUGCGUAACGCGUAUGCAACCUACCUUUUACAGGGGCAUAACACUGAGAAAUUGGUACUAAUUCCCCAUAAUAUCUGAGACGGCAUCGUUUGGGUUGAAAACUCCGGUGGUAAAAGAUGGGCAUGCGUUGUAUUAGCUAGUUGGUGAGGUAACGGCUCACCAAGGCGACGAUACAUAGGGGGACUGAGAGGUUAACCCCCACAUUGGUACUGAGACACGGACUAAACUCCUACGGGAGGCAGCAG
rnacentral:rRNA from 1 species